ACCCGUUUUGAUGCGAAAAGCGCCAGAAGUUGAACAAAUUUGGUGCCCUCGAACAAAAAGUGUUGCAACAGUAAGUGAAACUUCCAACGUCUAAAUCAGGUAUUCGAACUCUCGAUGGCACCGCACUCGGCCUGCUCGAAACAGUUUGAUUUAUUCAAAUGGAGCCCGUGUGAUACGCCUUUUGAACCUGUGCGAUACGGAAGUUAUGGCACGGUCCGGAACACCUGUAUCGAACGUUUUCGCAUCACAGGUAUGACAUAAAGUAGAUUAUUAUGCAACAGUAAUUAAAACAAACUGUGCAUUCUGAUUCAAUACACAUCCUUAUUGCAAUGUACUCCAGAGGAUUUCUUGUAUGAUCAUAAUAAAAUCAAAGCUAAUAUUCCUUUUGUAUUUCAGUCUUUUCUUUGACAAAAUAUAGUCAUCCUUCAGUGUAUUAUAAUUCAUUUUUUCUGUACACUAUACAUACAACAGUGCUUGUAAAAAUUCAAAAUCUUUUUCAAAACAUUUGUAUAAAACUGUGAAAUCUGCAGGGAAGAGCAAGUAUCUAAAAUUUCUCUUGUUCAUAAAGCCUGCCACAGCUGAUUGCUGCAUCGAAUUGUUUAAUACACUCUUACAACAGCCAAAAAGGGCUGUCAAGGUGGAAAAUAUACCUUUCUGGAAUAUACAUAAUCUUUUUUUUUACAAUUUUUGUCCUCUUUUAGAGUAUUGCAAAAGGGCUCCAUGUACAUCAGGUGAUCCCUAAAAGCCAGGCAGUGAUCG